GAUGAGACCAGAAAGCUUACACUGUUUCCUGUAUGAUCACUGAAGUUAAGCAACGUCGAGCCUGGUCAGUACCUAGAUGGGUGACCGCUUGGGAAUAUCAGGGAUUGUAAG